AUGGAACACCACCAGUCAUAUUCCAAGGACCUGGUGCAUUUCAAUUGCAACAACCUUAGGCUCGGUGAAAUCAUAUACCAAGAUGGUGAUGGUUAUGUGCACCUACUAGUCAAGUGUUUGGUGGGCAUAUUGAGGAAUCUGCCAAACAACAAGAUCAAACUCACUCGCCUCCAGGAAAACACACAGGAUCUAAGUCAUUUAGGCCUUGGCAGCUAUGAGUUGUGGCAUCUUUGUUGUUUGCAUUUUAUUGUUUGUUUGCAGGAUUUUCCAGCAAUUUCUUCUCCACAUAAAUUGGUAAAGCUAUCCUCAUUAUUCAGUCACAGUAUUUUCUUGAUCAUUCAAUUAUUUAUUUUAAUUCAACUGUUGCUUAUGGACUGUGUGCUUGUCAAUAGCUGCAAUUAG
rnacentral:rRNA from 1 species